AGAGUUCGAUCCUGGCUCAGGAUGAACGCUGGCGGCGUGCCUAACACAUGCAAGUCGAACGGUUAAAGCCCCUUCGGGGGUGCAUAGAGUGGCGAACGGCUGAGUAACACGUGGGCAACCUGCCCCCCGCACCGGGACAGCCUCGGGAAACCGUGGUUAAUACCGGAUACUCCGCCACCCCCGCAUGGGGGCGGCGGGAAAGCCCAGGCGGAGGGGGAUGGGCCCGCGGCCUGUUAGCUCGUUGGCGGGGUAACGGCCCACCAAGGCGAUGAUGGGUAGCCGGGUUGAGAGACCGACCGGCCAGAUUGGGACUGAGACACGGCCCAGACUCCUACGGGAGGCAGCAGUGGGGAAUCUUGCACAAUGGGCGAAAGCCUGAUGCAGCGACGCCGCGUGGGGGAUGAAGGCCUUCGGGUUGUAAACCGCUUUCAGCAGGGACGAGGCGAAAGUGACGGUACCUGCAGAAGAAGCCCCGGCUAACUACGUGCCAGCAGCCGCGGUAAUACGUAGGGGGCAAGCGUUAUCCGGAUUUACUGGGUGUAAAGGGAGCGUAGACGGCAAAUAAAGUCUGAAGUGAAAUCCCGCAGCUCAACUGCGGAGUUGCUUUGGAAACUUAUAAGCUGGAGUGUCGGAGGGGUAAGCGGAAUUCCCAGUGUAGCGGUGAAAUGCGUAGAUAUUGGGAGGAACACCGGAGGCGAAGGCGGCUUACUGGAAGAUAACUGACGUUGAGGCUCGAAGGCGUGGGUAGCAAACAGGAUUAGAUACCCUGGUAGUCCACGCAGUAAACGAUGAAUACUAGGUGUCGGGAGGGAAUAACCUUUUCGGUGCCGUCGCAAACGCAAUAAGUAUUCCACCUGGGGAGUACGUUCGCAAGAAUGAAACUCAAAGGAAUUGACGGGGACCCGCACAAGCGGUGGAGCAUGUGGUUUAA
rnacentral:rRNA from 1 species